rnacentral:rRNA from 1 species
AUUGAACGCUGGCGGCAUGCUUUACACAUGCAAGUCGAACGGUAACAGGUUAAGCUGACGAGUGGCGAACGGGUGAGUAAUGCAUCGGAACGUGCCCGAUCGUGGGGGAUAACGCAGCGAAAGCUGCGCUAAUACCGCAUACGACCUGAGGAUGAAAGCGGGGGACCGUAAGGUCGCGCGCGAUCGGAGCGGCCGAUGUCAGAUUAGGUAGUUGGUGGGGUAAAGGCCCACCAAGCCGACGAUCUGUAGCUGGUCUGAGAGGACGACCAGCCACACGGGGACUGAGACACGGCCCAGACUCCUACGGGAGGCAGCAGUGGGGAAUUUUGGACAAUGGGCGAAAGCCUGAUCCAGCAAUGCCGCGUGCAGGAAGAAGGCCUUCGGGUUGUAAACUGCUUUUGUACGGAGCGAAAAGGUCCUUUCUAAUACAAGGGGCUCAUGACGGUACCGUAAGAAUAAGCACCGGCUAACUACGUGCCAGCCGCCGCCGUAA